rnacentral:rRNA from 1 species
CCUACGGGUGGCUGCAGUGCGGAAUAUUGGACAAUGGGGGCAACCCUGAUCCAGCCAUGCCGCGUGUGUGAAGAAGGCCCUCGGGUUGUAAAGCACUUUCAGUGAGGAAGAACGCCUGGUGGUUAAUACCCAUCAGGAAAGACAUCACUCACAGAAGAAGCACCGGCUAACUCCGUGCCAGCAGCCGCGGUAAUACGGAGGGUGCGAGCGUUAAUCGGAAUUACUGGGCGUAAAGCGCGCGUAGGUGGCUUGAUAAGCCGGUUGUGAAAGCCCCGGGCUCAACCUGGGAACGGCAUCCGGAACUGUCAAGCUAGAGUGCAGGAGAGGAAGGUAGAAUUCCCGGUGUAGCGGUGAAAUGCGUAGAGAUCGGGAGGAAUACCAGUGGCGAAGGCGGCCUUCUGGACUGACACUGACACUGAGGUGCGAAAGCGUGGGUAGCAAACAGGAUUAGAUACCCGAGUAGUC